rnacentral:rRNA from 1 species
UACGUAGGGGGCAAGCGUUGUCCGGAUUUAUUGGGCGUAAAGAGCGUGUAGGCGGCCAUACAGGUCAGCUGUGAAAACUCGAGGCUCAACCUCGAGACGUCGGUUGAAACCGUAUGGCUAGAGUCCGGAAGAGGAGAGUGGAAAUUCCCGGUGUAGCGGUGAAAUGCGCAGAUAUCGGAAGAACACCCGUGGCGAAGGCGGCUCUCUGGGACGGUACUGACGCUGAGACGCGAAAGCGUGGGGAGCGAACAGG